rnacentral:rRNA from 1 species
GGGCCCGCACAAGCGGUGGAGCAUGUGGUUUAAUUCGAUGAUACGCGAGGAACCUUACCAGGACUUAAAUGUAAGUUGCAUGAUUCAGAAAUGAAUCUUUCUUCGGACUACUUACAAGGUGCUGCAUGGUUGUCGUCAGCUCGUGCCGUGAGGUGUCAGGGUUAAGUCCUAUAACGAGCGCAACCCCUGCCGUUCUAGUUGCCAGCAUGUAAUGAUGGGAACUCUAACGGGACUGCCGGUGCAAACCGCGAGGAAGGUGGGGAUGACGUCAAAUCAUCACGGCCCUUACGUCCUGGCUACACACGUGCUACAAUGGCCGGUACAGAGGGCAGCCACACCGCAAGGUGGAG